UAAGGUGUUACCGGCAUCAGUGAAAAGCC
rnacentral:piRNA from 1 species